ensembl:lncRNA
GCAACGGGGUGGUCCUCGGGUCCGGGCCCCAGCAGGUGCAGGCGGCCGAGGUCGCCGGGUCCGCGGGAGGCCUCGGCAUGGAGGUCGUGGGUCUCAAUCUGGCCAUCGACCCGGAGGGCGGCAGCGCCCACGCCGAGGAGGCCGAGGACGACUCGGACUUCGGGCCGGCGGACGAGGACGGGGAGGAGGCGCCGGCGGACGGCCUGGACAUCCUGGUGGACGCCCAUCAGUUCCCCAUGGUCAGUUUCCGUUUCAUGUUCCUGGACUUGGUGCACUCGCUGCUGCACCGCAUCAACUGCAACAACCAUAUCCUCGUGCGGCCCCGCGGCGGCGGCAUGGUGGUGCCACCCCAGCCUCAGCUACGCGACGGCCUGGGCCAGCACCCCGUGCCCCUGGCUGAGCUGCCAACACCUGCAGCGGCCGCCGUGGUCCACGAGUCCGAGGCCUCGUCCGAGGAGGAGACCGACUGGGAGACGGCGGAGGAGCCGGAUGAGGAGCCGCAGAUGGGGCCGGCGGCCGCCGAUGGGACAACUCAAUACCAGUAUGAAAACUCUGACAAAGAGGCCCAAGGCUCUGAUAGGGGGGAAGAAAAAGAGAAAUUUAACAAUAAACAAGAUGGACCUAACUAGAAGGGAUCCGGCCCAACAGAGAACAGGGCCAGCAAAUCCAGGUAUGGGUAUAGCUUUGCACAUCACCAGACCAUUCCCGGCAUUUACCUGUUACUGACAGUCUUAUUCUUUUUCAAUUCUCCUAGUAAAUUAAGAAGUUUGUUUAAGAUCAGUUUAAAAAUUCAGUUUUAGCUGCUCAGAACAUUAAUAGAAUACUAAUGUAUCUAGUAACAGAAAUCACAGUAUAUUCUGAAAUAUAUUUCCAUGGCUGCUCAUUCGUUCUCGUGAGGUCUUUUGUCCUCUACCUGUGAGACUACUAACGAGCGGUAGAUGUAUCAGUAGCUGAGACCAGUAUUUGUUUAGAGAACAGUUACUGGAAGCAGCAGCACAAGUGGCUGGGCUGUGCACUAAUUGGGCAUUCGUUACUUGACCAUGGAAAUGUACUGCCUUGUGCUAACUAGGAGACGAUGCCUUUGCCAAUGUGAUUACAUACAAAUAGCAAAAAGUCGAGAAUUUCAAAGUAGGACCACAUUUAAUGAUUAAUACCUGAUAUUCAGGUGUAGAUUUUUGUAUUUUACGUGAAAGUCUAAAGCAAGUUAGUCAUAGUAUGGUGAUUACUUAUCACGGAAUUGAUAACGAAGUCUUGAGGUGUAUCUUGUCUUUGAAUUUAUUUAAAUGAUUAACUUUUUUUUUUUUUUUUUGCAUUUCCACAGCUGUGUAUUUCAUUAUCACAGCUUCUUUUUCAUAUGGUAGAUAUGGAAACCGAGGGUCUGGGAGAAUAAGGGAGUAGCAUUUGUGGAAUGAGCAUAGGCUUUUAAGGUGAAGAGAUUUCCUUAAAUCUCCGAAUGGCCUCUCAAGGGUGGAGGGAAGCAUUUAUGGUGUUAGGCAAGAGGGAGACAAGGUUGGUAGGCUCACAAAAUUGAAGCCAUGGGUUGCACGAGCACCCUAUACACAAGGGUACAGGUUACAAGAGGAAAAUGUGUGGUACUCAACUUGAGAUACAGUACACAAAUGCAGCAUGUACAUAGGGCUAUUUUCAUAGGUUUAGAAAGUCACUGGUGCUGGUUAAUGCUGUGGAACUGCUAAUUUUCUCUCAUUUCACCCUGCAGUUGGAAGAAAUAGAAAGAAAAUGAAGAAGCAAGAACCUGCUGUUCAUUAUUUUUAAGAUUUUCUUUUCUUUUUUUUAGAAGCCCAUGGGAAUUUUAUUAACACCAAUUCAGCGUUCCAAACUGCAUGAAAAGUGCUCUCUGAUGAAAUCUGACUCCUCUCUUACUUGUGACUGGUAUAUUUGACAGCAUUUGUUCUGGUUAAAAAUAAAUUUGUUUUAAAUUAAUAAGAUGGAACA